rnacentral:rRNA from 1 species
AGCAGCCGCGGUAAUUCCAGCUCCAAUAGCGUAUAUUAAAGUUGUUGCAGUUAAAAAGCUCGUAGUUGAAUUUCGGGAUCAGCAGGUCGGUCGUGCCAAUGGUAUGCACUGGCCUUGCUGAUUCCUCCCUCUUGAUGAGCCGUAAUGCCAUUAAUUUGGUGUUGCGGGGAAUCAGGACUGUUACUUUGAAAAAUUAGAGUGUUUAAAGCAGGCAAGCGUUCGAAUACAUUAGCAUGGAAUAAUGAAAUAGGACGUUUAAUCCUAUUUUGUUGGUUUCUAGGAUUGACGUAAUGAUUAAUAGGGAUAGUUGGGGGCAUUAGUAUUCAAUUGUCAGAGGUGAAAUUCUUGGAUUUAUUGAAGACUAACUACUGCGAAAGCAUUUGCCAAGGAUGUUUUCAUUAAUCAAGAACGAAAGUUAGGGGAUCGAAGACGAUCAGAUACCGUCGUAGUCUUAACCAUAAACUAUAGCCGACUAGGGAUCGGAUGAUGUUAAUUUUUUAAUGACUCAUUC